AUGACUUGGUACAGAGAGAGAGAGAGAGAGAAUGCUGCUUUAGGUUUCUUAGUAGUAAAAGGGAUGAUAUUUGAGAAGGGAGGGAUUUUCCUUCAUAGCUACCCUCUACUCACUAGCCUGAAAUACUGGAAAGAAGAUGAGGUUGUCAGUGUCACGUUCAAGAUGCAAAUAGUUGUCACAUGGGAGAGUCUUGGCAAGAGAGAAGUUUGUGCCAUCAGUUUGCAGUCCCCAUCCCUGCAUACUACAGAAGAGCUCUGGGAAGAGAAUAUCUACACCCAGGAGCAACUUUUCUCCUGGCUUGCCUCCCUGGUGAGUGUCAGUGACCCCCUUAGUACAGGUAAGAAUGCAAAGAAGCAGCGGGUAAUUGCUAGUCUGCUUGCAGGAACUGUGUUCCUCUAAAAGUAAUUCCCUGGAACUGUGAGAGAAAUCUUCCACAUACUAACUACUCACAGCAAUGCUCAGUGGCUCCCUUGCUGAAGUGCUUAGCUCUGUGCUAGUGGCAAGAACAUCAAGCGUGCUCUGUGCUUUGUUAAUCUGCAUUUCUGUGAUUUCUGUGAAAGAAGAAUGCUUUGUGGCUCUUUUCUUUGCCAAAAGCAGCUGGUACAGUGCAUGAGACUAAUGGCGCCAGG
rnacentral:lncRNA from 1 species